rnacentral:rRNA from 1 species
CUUUCUUUGCUGGCGACCGGCGCACGAGUGAGUAACACGUAUCCAACCUGCCCUUUACUCGGGGAUAGCCUUUCGAAAGAAAGAUUAAUACCCGAUAGUAUAAUGAUUCCGCAUGGUUUCAUUAUUAAAGGAUUCCGGUAAAGGAUGGGGAUGCGUUCCAUUAGGUUGUUGGUGAGGUAACGGCUCACCAAGCCUUCGAUGGAUAGGGGUUCUGAGAGGAAGGUCCCCCACAUUGGAACUGAGACACGGUCCAA